rnacentral:rRNA from 1 species
AUUGAACGCUGGCGGCAGGCCUAACACAUGCAAGUCGAGCGGAUGAAGGGUGCUUGCUCCUGUAUUCAGCGGCGGACGGGAGAGUAAUGCCUAGGAAUCUGCCUGGUAGUGGGGGAUAGGGUUAGGAAACGGGCACUAAUACCGCAUCCGUCCUGAGGGAGAAAGAGAAGGAGCUUCAGACCAAAAGCUAUCGGAUGAGCCUAGGUCGGAUUAGCUAGUUGGUGGGGUAAAGGCCUACCAAGGCGACGAUCAGUAACUGGUCUGAGAGGAUGAUCAGUCACACUGGAACUGAGACACGGUCCAGACUCCUACGGGAGGCAGCAGUGGGGAAUAUUGGACAAUGGGCGCAAGCCUGAUCCAGCCAUGCCGCGUGUGUGAAGAAGGUCUUCGGAUUGUAAAGCACUUUAAUUUGGGAGGAAGGGCAGUAAGUUAAUACCUCGCUGUUUUGACGUUACCAACAGAAUAAGCACCGGCUAACUUCGUG